rnacentral:lncRNA from 1 species
CGUUAGACAUGUUUGCGCUUAACACACAUGGUCGUUUUCUGUUGUAGGCGACAUUACUCUCCAGGAGAUAUGCAUUGCAAUGAGGUGGUGAACAGGCCUCUACAGAUUCCUGACAGAAUCACGUAUCCUCUACUGAAUGCGGAAAGUGAGGAGAGGUUUCCUGUGUACAAAUCUCGCGCUCACCGAAUGGACAUGACAUCGGAGGAAGAGCUCGGAGCCUCUGGGAGACGAGAGCCUUACCUGAGGAGGGACAGAGUUUUAGGAGAUACGAUGAACCCUGAAGGAACCACACAAGCUAAUUUUAAGAAGCCGUCAGAACUGUCACGGAGCAAGACUUUCAGCACUUUGAGCGACAUUCUUAAGCGGGUCAAUGCACGUGCGAGUUCCUCAGGACAGCAGAGGACAGACAACCCGGCGCCGGGCGUCAGCAAAUCCACACUGGACCUCAAUUUACAGCGUUCAGACACGGCAUCAAACGCUCGAACCACCAACUGUGAUAAUCUGCCCCUGACUCCAGCUCUGGCACUUAUGAAAAAGAGAAAUGAUGAGAUUAAAUCGGGACUGUUGAGGAGCAUGCCCAGUGUGUUCACACCGGGACUCAGAACUCCCAACUUUGGCCUGCAGAGGGAGACAUGGAGGUCUCCGUUCAGAAGCCAUAGAAGUGAGGAGGAGCACUGAUAUUAUGCAGGAAACCCCAGACAAUGACAUCAACAGUGUUACAAUAAUUCCCACAUAUUGAAAUAUGUAAAUGUCACUGUAAUAAACAGGGCUGCAGGUAAAAGGGGAUUUUCCUGCUUACAGAGAAUAAAUAUUUAUCAGCAGUGAUGUUACAUUUGAAAAAUAAGGCUAUUAAUACAUGCCUGAUUUAAAUGUGUUAUUGAAAGAUGAGAUGGACUGUCUUUGAAUUUUAAAGGCCAAGUGUUUAUACUGCCUACCGUUUAACAUUUUAACUAGAUUUAUAAAAUCGAAUACCACAAAGAAUUUUAGAGGCUAGCUCGUUUUAUUUAACUAUGCUGUUUAAAGUCAGCAUGAAAUUGUUUGCAGUUCAUUUUACUUUUGUACAUCCAUUGGUCAAAAAGGAAAGUUGUUUCAGAGGUUAUUCAUUUUGCUGAUUGUUUUUCCCUUUGGAAUAAUAUGCACUGAUGAAUCAUUCAAAAUAAGAUUAAAAAUAAAUAAAUAAUAAUAGACUGUAAAAAAGAUGUUUUCAAACUUGUAAAUAAAACUAAAAUUACCGC